UGGGGAAUAUUGGUCAAUGGAGGCAACUCUGAACCAGCCAUGCCGCGUGCAGGAAGACGGCCCUCUGGGUUGUAAACUGCUUUUGUACGGAACGAAAAGGCUCUGGUUAAUACCUGGGGCUCAUGACGGUACCGUAAGAAUAAGCACCGGCUAACUACGUGCCAGCAGCCGCGGUAAUACGUAGGGUGCAAGCGUUAAUCGGAAUUACUGGGCGUAAAGCGUGCGCAGGCGGUUAUGUAAGACAGAUGUGAAAUCCCCGGGCUCAACCUGGGAACUGCGUUUGUGACUGCAUAACUAGAGUACGGCAGAGGGAGGUGGAAUUCCGCGUGUAGCAGUGAAAUGCGUAGAUAUGCGGAGGAACACCGAUGGCGAAGGCAAUCCCCUGGACCUGUACUGACGCUCAUGCACGAAAGCGUGGGGAGCAAACA
rnacentral:rRNA from 1 species